rnacentral:tRNA from 1 species
AUUCAAUUAGUAUAUAUAUAAAAGUAUAUUAAGCUUCCAACUUAAAGGAUUAUUAGAAUUUAAAUUGAAUA